rnacentral:rRNA from 1 species
AAUAGAUACCCAGGUAGUCCACGCCGUAAACGAUGAGUGCUAAGUGUUAGGGGGUUUCCGCCCCUUAGUGCUGCAGCUAACGCAUUAAGCACUCCGCCUGGGGAGUACGGUCGCAAGACUGAAACUCAAAGGAAUUGACGGGGGCCCGCACAAGCGGUGGAGCAUGUGGUUUAAUUCGAAGCAACGCGAAGAACCUUACCAGGUCUUGACAUCCCAUUGACCGCUAUGGAGACAUGGCUUUCCCUUCGGGGACAGUGGUGACAGGUGGUGCAUGGUUGUCGUCAGCUCGUGUCGUGAGAUGUUGGGUUAAGCCCGCAACGAGCGCAACCCUUGUUCUUAGUUGCCAUCAUUUAGUUGGGCACUCUAAGGAGACUGCCGGUGACAAACCGGAGGAAGGUGGGGAUGACGUCAAAUCAUCAUGCCCCUUAUGACCUGGGCUACACACGUGCUACAAUGGACGGUACAAACGGUUGCCAACCCGCGAGGGGAGCUAAUCCGAUAAAACCGUUCUCAGUUCGGAUUGUAGGCUGCAACUCGCCUAC